rnacentral:rRNA from 1 species
GACGAACGCUGGCGGCGAGCCUAAUACAUGCAAGUCGAGCGGACAGAAGGGAGCUUGCUCCCGGAAGUUAGCGGCGGACGGGUGAGUAACACGUGGGCAACCUACCCUGUAGAUCGGGAUAACAUCGAGAAAUCGGUGCUAAUACCGGAUAAUCAUUUGAAGUGCAUGCUUCGAAUGUAAAAGAUGGCUCCGGCUAUCACUACGGGAUGGGCCCGCGGCGCAUUAGCUAGUUGGUAAGGUAAUGGCUUACCAAGGCAACGAUGCGUAGCCGGCCUGAGAGGGUGAUCGGCCACACUGGGACUGAGACACGGCCCAGACUCCUACGGGAGGCAGCAGUAGGGAAUCUUCCGCAAUGGACGAAAGUCUGACGGAGCAACGCCGCGUGAGUGAUGAAGGUUUUCGGAUCGUAAAGCUCUGUUGUUAGGGAAGAACAAGUGCCGUUUGAAUAAGGCGGCACCUUGACGGUACCUAACCAGAAAGCCACGGCUAACUACGUGCCAGCCGCCGCAGUAACAC